rnacentral:rRNA from 1 species
GACGAACGCUGGCGGCGCGCUUAACACAUGCAAGUCGAGCGAUAACCAUGGCUUCGGCCAUGGGGAGAGCGGCGAACGGGUGAGUAACACGUGAGCGAUCUGCCCUCGACACCGGGAUAGCCCGGGGAAACCCGGAUUAAUACCGGAUGGCCUCUCGAGCCCACGGGCUCGUUAGAAAAGAUGGCUUCGGCUUUCGGUCGAGGAGGAGCUUGCGGCGGAUUAGCUUGUUGGUGGGGUAACGGCUCACCAAGGCGACGAUCCGUAGCUGGUCUGAGAGGACGAUCAGCCACACUGGGACUGAAACACGGCCCAGACUCCUACGGGAGGCAGCAGUGGGGAAUCUUGCGCAAUGGGCGAAAGCCUGACGCAGCGACGCCGCGUGAGGGAAGAAGGCCUUCGGGUUGUAAACCUCUUUCAGGAGGGACGAAGCCACUCGGGUUAAUACCCCAGAGGGUGACGGUACCUCCAGAAGAAGCCCCGGCUAACUACGUGCCAGCAGCCGCCGCAGUAA